GAUGAACGCUAGCUACAGGCUUAACACAUGCAAGUCGAGGGGCAGCAUGAACUUAGCUUGCUAAGUUUGAUGGCGACCGGCGCACGGGUGAGUAACACGUAUCCAACCUGCCGAUGACUCGGGGAUAGCCUUUCGAAAGAAAGAUUAAUACCCGAUGGCAUAGUUCUUCCGCAUGGUGGAACUAUUAAAGAAUUUCGGUCAUCGAUGGGGAUGCGUUCCAUUAGGUUGUUGGCGGGGUAACGGCCCACCAAGCCUUCGAUGGAUAGGGGUUCUGAGAGGAAGGUCCCCCACAUUGGAACUGAGACACGGUCCAAACUCCUACGGGAGGCAGCAGUGAGGAAUAUUGGUCAAUGGACGAGAGUCUGAACCAGCCAAGUAGCGUGAAGGAUGACUGCCCUAUGGGUUGUAAACUUCUUUUAUACGGGAAUAAAGUGAGGCACGUGUGCCUUUUUGUAUGUACCGUAUGAAUAAGGAUCGGC
rnacentral:rRNA from 1 species